ACAGAAUAAAGUGCAACACAACAGCUAAUGCACACAACCCUUUCAAAGGCCACUUAGUCCAUUUUAAAAGCCAAAAGCACAGAAACGCUACAGGUUGUUUCUGUGCAUGUACGUUAUCAAAAAUAUGGAUACAUAGAACAAAACACUAACACCAACAUUCAAUCUGUGUUUGCUGUCAGCAGAAAAAAUACAGCUCCAUCAAGCUAUGUCUGGACAAAAGAUUCUCUUGGAACAAGAAGGGAAAUGUGUGUGCAUUGCACAAGCUUAUUUUUGAGGCCGUGGACCUUUUUCAGUAGUUUGGCCCCGUCAAGUUCCAAAAAAUGUUUUUGAUAAGUAUCAAAUGUGUUCUUCAGCUCCUUCGGAUAUUCGAGGUUGAGGGCAUAUAUCAGUCCCAUCAGCAGUACACAUGCCUUCGUUCGGCUUCCACAUCCCUCCAUCACUUGGUUUCCCUCAAUCACAGUGGACACAUCUGAUGGAUCCUCCUCAGCCAUGAUGUUGUGGAUCACAAUCACCUUCAUCAUAUUGUCUGUAUAAUCCUCACAUUCCUACGUGUUAAAAAGAAAGAAACAAAAAGCAUACACGUUUUAUUUUAUUUAAGAUGCUUUUUCAAUAUAUUUCAGUUUAUCUAAAGAGGGGAGUGGACAGAAGAUGAAUGGAGAAGGGGAGAACGGGAUAGGAGAGGACAGGAGAGAAGAACAUUAGGAUCCCUUGAGUUAAUAAGUAAACUGUUAUCAAUAUGACAAACCUGGCAGUCAUGAAAAAGCUGCUUUCUAUGAGGCUCGGGACCAGCACUCCUGUUGUUGGACAGAAAGACAUCAACUCAGUGACUUGAGAUAUGACUGCAUUAUGCUGUUGCUGGUGACUCCAGUUAAUUCUACAAGACAUGCUGUGACACCAGGAGAGAUGAGUCCUCCGUCACAGAUGGUGUGGUCAGUGAAGAUGGUCGCCUGCAGGUUCAAGCUCAUUGCAUCUCCAACCCACAUCCACUGCCACUGUACUUAAGGGAAGUUAAAGACUUUCUUCUGCACCUACAUUUGGAUCACCUCGAUCCAUGACAGUCAUUCAGGCAGUAAUGCCUGGA